UGGGGAAUUUUGGCCAAUGGGGGACACCCUGAUCCAGCCAUCCCGCGUGUGCGAUGAAGGCCUUCGGGUUGUAAAGCACUUUUGGCAGGAAAGAAACGUCAUGGGUUAAUACCCCGUGAAACUGACGGUACCUGCAGAAUAAGCACCGGCUAACUACGUGCCAGCAGCCGCGGUAAUACGUAGGGUGCAAGCGUUAAUCGGAAUUACUGGGCGUAAAGCGUGCGCAGGCGGUUCGGAAAGAAAGAUGUGAAAUCCCAGGGCUCAACUUUGGAACUGCAUUUUUAACUACCGGGCUAGAGUGUGUCAGAGGGAUGUGUAAUUCCGCGUGUAGCAGUGAAAUGCGUAGAUAUGCGGAGGAACACCGAUGGCGAAGGCAGACUCCUGGGAUAACACUGACGCUCAUGCACGAAAGCGUGGGGAGCAAACAGG
rnacentral:rRNA from 1 species